rnacentral:rRNA from 1 species
GACGAACGCUGGCGGCGUGCCUAAUACAUGCAAGUUGAGCGAUGAAGAUUGGUGCUUGCCCCAAUUUGAAGAGCAGCGAACGGGUGAGUAACGCGUGGGGAAUCUGCCUUUGAGCGGGGGACAACAUUUGGAAACGAAUGCUAAUACCGCAUAAUAACUUUAAACAUAAGUUUUAAGUUUGAAAGAUGCAAUUGCAUCACUCAAAGAUGAUCCCGCGUUGUAUUAGCUAGUUGGUGAGGUAAAGGCUCACCAAGGCGAUGAUACAUAGCCGACCUGAGAGGGUGAUCGGCCACAUUGGGACUGAGACACGGCCCAAACUCCUACGGGAGGCAGCAGUAGGGAAUCUUCGGCAAUGGACGAAAGUCUGACCGAGCAACGCCGCGUGAGUGAGGAAGGUUUUCGGAUCGUAAAACUCUGUUGGUAGAGAAGAACGUUGGUGAGAGUGGAAAGCUCAUCAAGUGACGGUAACUACCCAGAAAGGGACGGCUAACUACGUG